AGGACGAACGCUGGCGGCGUGCUUAACACAUGCAAGUCGAGCGGGUAAGGCUCCUUCGGGAGUACACGAGCGGCGAACGGGUGAGUAACACGUGAGCAAUCUGCCCUUCACAUUGGAAUAACUUCGGGAAACCGAAGCUAAUACCGAAUACGACCACCGAUGGCAUCAUCUGGUGGUGGAAAGUUCCGGCGGUGAAGGAUGAGCUCGCGGCCUAUCAGCUUGUUGGUGGGGUCAUGGCCCACCAAGGCGACGACGGGUAGCCGGCCUGAGAGGGUGACCGGCCACGACUGGGACUGAGACACGGCCCAGACUCCUACGGGAGGCAGCAGUGGGGAAUAUUGGACAAUGGGCGAAAGCCUGAUCCAGCAACGCCGCGUGAGGGAUGACGGCCUUCGGGUUGUAAACCUCUUUCACCCACGACGAAGCGAAAGUGACGGUAGUGGGAGAAGAAGCACCGGCCAACUACGUGCCAGCAGCCGC
rnacentral:rRNA from 1 species